GUUUCAGCCGCCGCGGUAAUACGUAGGAUCCGAGCGUUGUCCGGAAUUACUGGGUGUAAAGGGCGUGUAGGUGGAGCUUUAAGUCGGUGGUGAAAGCCUGCAGCUCAACUGCAGAAUUGCCCUCGAUACUGAGGCUCUUGAGUACGGCAGAGGGAGAUGGAAUUCAUGGUGUAGCGGUGAAAUGUGUAGAUAUCAUGAAGAACACCGGUAGCGAAGGCGGUCUCCUGGUCCGUAACUGACACUGAGGCGCGAAAGCGUGGGGAGCAAACAGGAUUAGAUACCCUCGUAGUCC
rnacentral:rRNA from 1 species